GUUGCCAAAAAAUGAAUCGUCAAAAUCUACAAUUAUCGCCGGCAUCCAACCAUGCUUUCCUAAAAUUCAUCAUCGCCGAAGCAAAUUAAACAACCUCCGAUAAAAUCACAACCCAGAUCAGGAUUAUAGAAAGGAUAAACAAUAACAUAUAUAAAUCCGAAAAAUCGGUAACACGGUUAACAUCACAGACCAAUCACCCAAAGCACCAAAUCAGACGAAUCAAAAAUCGAACAUUUUUUCCAAAUCAUACUAAAAUGGAAUAAACAGCCAAAAUCAGAUGAGAAAGCUGCACAAACCCAAAUCCAAGGGGGAAACAGUUACUAACCCAUAAUCCGACCAGUCAAAAAACAUGAAUCGUAGCUUAAAUGAUUUUCGAUGAACAUUGACAGACCGGAAACUAAAAAAGGUAUCUGUACUGACGAAUAAAACAAUGAUCCCGAUCGAAAUAUGAAAUAAAUUAAACAAGAACUCAAAUCGGAAGGGGACCCAAAAUCAAUACCCACAAGGAACUUAGGAAAGAGAACCCCGGAUUCCGACGAGCAUGAACAUAGCAGUGGAAAUCACAACAGAUAAAUAAUACUAAAUCUUAGAUCUCGCAACCACAAGUAAAAGAAAAUACUCAAAUCAGAUUAAUGGACAAGAUAAUCAUUAAAAACACAUUAACCAAAUACGGAGCAUCACCGUCUUCUAUAGGACCUAAAUCCUAGAAUCCGACAAGGCCAAUUCGAUAACUGAUAUAGGAAGCAUCAUAUCCGAAAAGAACAAUCAAAGCUAAAAAACCAACAUCAAGAAUACAAAACUCUUUAGGAACCCACUAAUCCGGAGCCAUAUUCCAACAGGAAUCCUCAAAACAAGAUCAAAGUAUAAUGCUCAAACGCCCAGGGCUACCCCCUACUAGGCUAAUCGGAGAAGACAACAACCAUUAAACCCUCAGACUUGGCCACAGAUCGGUUGAAAAAGAUAGAUUGUUG
rnacentral:lncRNA from 1 species